GGUUCUGUGGUGUAGUGGUUAUCACGCUUCGUUCACAACAGUGAGCACUUUCCGAAGAGGUCCCCGGUUCGAGCCCGGGCAGGAUCA